GACGAACGCUGGCGGCGUGCUUAACACAUGCAAGUCGAACGAAAAGGCCCUUCGGUGUCCUCUAGUGGCGAACGGGUGAGUGACACGUUGGUAAGCUGCUCUGCACUUUGUGAUAAGCGUGUGAAACUGGGUCUAAUGCGCUAAAGGAGCACGCUAUUCUUAGUGUGAUGUUUAAAUCUUUUGCGGUGUUUGAUUGGCCCGCGGCCGAUCAGCUUGUUGGUGGUGUAAUGGCUUACCAAGUCGACGACUGGUAGCCGGCCGUGGAGUGUGACCGGCGACCCUGGGCCUGCGAGAGGGCGCAGACUCGUACGGGCGGCAGCAGUGGGGAACAUUGCACAAUGGCCGCACGCCUGAUGCAGAGACGCCGCGUGCGGGAUGCCCUCCUUCGGGUUGUAAACAUAUUUCAAUAGGGACGAAGAGCAAGUGACGGUACCUAUAGAAGAAGCCACGGCUAACUACGUG
rnacentral:rRNA from 1 species